AACGAACGCUGGCGGCGCGCCUAAUACAUGCAAGUCGAGCGAGAAGACGUAGCAAUACGUUUGUAAAGCGGCGAACGGGUGAGGAAUACAUGGGUAACCUACCCUCGAGUGGGGAAUAACUAGCCGAAAGGUUAGCUAAUACCGCGUACGCUCCUUGGACUUCGGUUCAGGGAGGAAAGCGAUACCGUGGGUAUCGCGCUCUUGGAUGGGCUCAUGUCCUAUCAGCUUGUUGGUGAGGUAACGGCUCACCAAGGCUUCGACGGGUAGCUGGUCUGAGGGGACGAUCAGGCCACACUGGCACUGCGACACGGGCCAGACUCCUACGGGAGGCAGCAGUAAGGAAUAUUGCGCAAUGGGCGAAAGCCUGACGCAGCGACGCCGCGUGGGGGA
rnacentral:rRNA from 1 species